rnacentral:rRNA from 1 species
CCUACGGGAGGCAGCAGUGAGGAAUAUUGGUCAAUGGGCGCGAGACUGAACCAGCCAAGCAGCGUGAAGGAUGAAGGUACAAAGGGUUGUAAACAUCUUUUAUAAAGGAAUAAAGAGAGGCACGUGUGCCCUGAUGGAUGUACUGUAUGAAAAAGGAGCGGCUAACUCCGUGCCAGCAGCCGCGGUAAUACGGAGGAUCCGAGCGUUAUCCGGAGUUAUGGGGUUUAAAGGGCGCGUAGAUGGGUUGUUAAGUCAGUUGUGAAAGUUCUGGGCUCAACCCUAAGAGUGCCAUGGAUACUGGCAGUCUUGAGUUCCGUUGAGGUAUGCGGAAUUCGUGGUGUAGCGGUGAAAUGCUUAGAUAUCACGCAGAACUCCGAUUGCGAAGGCAGCUUGCU